rnacentral:lncRNA from 1 species
UCUCUCUGCCCCUCCCCUGCUUGCGCUCUCUGUCUCUCAAAAAUAAAUAAAUGUUAAAAAAAAAAUUUUUUUUUUUAGAAAGAAGAAGAGUACAGGAAAUGAGCCUUCCAAGGAGAGCUCCAAAUCCCCACUUGCGUAAAGUCGCUGUUCCCUCGCUCUGCCAAGCAGUGAGGCUUCGUUGGAGCAGGGCUAGGGAUUCAGCAAGACAGCAGCAUAGACUUGGACGGCUGCCACCGUGGCUCUGCCCUCAGAGACUUCCAAAAAAGCUUCCCACUCUGUUACUUGCCUUGGUGGCCACUAAUGUUCCUGCUGCAGGCCCUGGGCACCCGGGCUCCAGCGACAUGAGCUGUAAAAUCCCAAGGAAAACUGGAGCAUCCAAAUGCUCAGAGACGCCUUGGUCAUGUGGUGAGGAUCGUGGCCACUAGAAGCCCCAAUUUAGAAAUCCCGGUAGAAAAAAGAGCUUCCUUUCUCCAUGUCUGAAAAACAAUCCCAGGAAAGGAUGCCGGCUUCACUUGGGUCAUAUGCCUCAGAGUGGCAGGAUGUUUUCUUUUUAAGUCCAAUACGUAAGUAGCUGGUCACCGGUCUCAGUAGGUCACAAGUAGUAACUUAUUUAAUCCCUGUCUUUUAAAAAAGCCUAUAAGUUAGUCCAGUUACUAUCUUCAUUGCAAAUGAACAAACAUGUAAGUGGCCUUCACAAGGUCACAGAGCUAUUGCUUGGUAGAACUGGAAUUUUGGAGCCAGACUGCUGGGGCCCGAGUCUGUAUUUGUGCCCCCGUGUUACAGUUGUACCCUCAUGCUAUGGUUGUGUGGGAUUGCAUGGCGUAACUCUAGGGGAGCAAACCCUGGACCUAAACAGCGUGACCUCGUAGGCAACACGGGGGGAAGGGACUAACACUGUUGUCAGAGUGGACAGGAGACUAAUGGUGGCUCAUAUUUGGUAGCUGUGGGGGGCGGGGGUAGGUACUGUGACUGACAGCCCCACCUGUCCCACAUUUACUGGGGGAGGAGUAGUUCCCCAGAGAAAGAAGCCCAGGCACACAGUGAUCACGUAUGACCAUCUCAGGAGCAUCUAGGGGCAGUCAUGGCUUCAGUAUCUGCCUAUCUUCCUGCUCCCUAAAGAUGUCUAGAUAUGAAAUGGUCUCUGGGAAUGAUAUACUGGUCCAGGGUUGAGGGGAGGGGAGGGGAGGAGAGGAGAGAGGAGAGGAGAGGAGAGGAGAGGAGGAGAGGAGAGGAGGAGAGGAGAGGAGAGGAGAGGAGAGGAGAGGAGAGAGGAGAGGAGAGGAGAGGAGAGGAGAGGAGAGGAAGGAGAGGAGAGGAGGAGGAGAGGAGAGAGGAGAGGAAGGAGAGGAGAGGAGAGGAAGAGGAGAGGAGAGAGAGGAGAGGAGAGGAGGAGAGGAGAGGAGAGGAGAGGAAGAGGAGAGGAGA